ensembl:lncRNA
GGGCACUGAGUGUGUCGUGGUGUUUUGGAUUAUAAGAGAACUGAUCAGAUACAUCGGAAUCCUCAGACUGACUGGAGUAGGCAUUAUGUUUGUUGUCCUGCUCUCCAUCUGAGAAAUUCACACAACUUGCUCUGAUCUCUUUCAGUAACUCCUCACUGUUCAGGCAGUUUGUGCUUAAGGUGUCUAUUUGUGAGGAGACAUAUUUCAGCAGCUCUCUUGAGAAAGCAGACAGACAAACAGACAGAUGCAACCAUUACUUGUUUGGUUAUCAUAAUGACAGUGAAAACAAUGUAACUACUAAGUAGCUCAAUCUUUGGGGAAAGAAAAAGGUAGGCUAAUUAUAAUUUCCAUAACAUGUAUUACAACAUUUCAAACAAUCUUUUUAUACUUACGAAUCUGGAUCAAGGCCAUCUUCAACCUAAAAUAACAACAAACCGUAAUUAUGUUUACUUUAUGAACCCCCGUGGAUAUCACAUGAGCUCGCUAAAAGCAGUUCUGCUCUAGUCCAAUCACAUCUGCCUCUAAUUCCACUAUCAUAGUGUCUAGUUUGGCUACUUUAAUGGCCUGAGUAGCUCUAUGGUUACUCACCUCCAGACGCCAUCUCCCGAGUAACCAAAACAGAAUCAGAAGCAGGCAAACCACGCAUGUGGCCGUUUUCCAGCGGUAUUCCAGUAAAGGCAUUUUUCCAUGUUGCAUUGGCCUGCGGAAACCCUGGGCCCCUUCGGUUGGAGGCAGUGAAUGGAUGUACACUGGGGACGGUCGGGAAACUCAAAGUGACAGGCGCCUCCCGCUACGUCUCCCCUGGUCUCCCCCAGACCCAGAUCCCAAGACCCCUCUUGCCUGGGACACUGUGUACAUUUGGGGUCCCUCUGACACCAGUGAUGGAAGGGUAAGGGAUCGGAAUACUUCUUCCACCAUUGUAUGAAACAAAGCCUGUGAUGACACUGCUCUCAGCAUGCAAGCUCUUCAGCAGAAAUCAACCCUGGCAAUCCUCUCUCAUCUCUCUGUCCUUCACUGUCCCCCUCUUCAACCACGCUACUGGUACAAGCGUGCGCCUGCUAAUGCAGUUAACACUGUGCACAUCCUGAUUAAACGUUCCUGUUGCUAAAAGAUGUAAUGGCUUGGGCGCUUCGGAUGUGGUGUCUGUGGGGAAUUUUCUUUUCGAGGCGUAUCUGUGAUGUAUACAAUCAAUUUGAAAUCUGGCUCAUUAUCACAGGAGACCUCCAGGCAACUCGCAAAGCGGGGAAGUGUGUAACACGGAACACCCACAUUCAAAACCACUGGCAAUGUUUCCUUGAUUCUUAAACUGUAGAAAAACACUCUUUAAGCUGCAUGAAAGCCAGCGGUGACGCACACACCACAUUCACCACACACACACACCACACACACACUGAGACAUAUCUUCCCCAAACGCAAUGGAACAUGUCUCUUUAAUGCAAAGUUGUUGAGGAAGAGAGAGCGAGGGGGAUCAGAGGAAUUCAUUAUGGAUCCGUGGGUGGCACAGUCAGUCCGAGAGCUCCUCCAAAAUUCAGCCGUAAAGUUGAUUUCUCUUAUCUUGGACCCACAGCAACACAUGAGUUAUUAUCCAUCGCACUGGAAAAGGAACGAGGGGAG